UACGUAGGGUCCGAGCGUUAAUCGGAAUUACUGGGCGUAAAGCGUGCGCAGGCGGUUUUGUAAGCCAGAUGUGAAAUCCCCGGGCUUAACCUGGGAAUGGCAUUUGGGACUGCAAGGCUUGAGUGUGGCAGAGGGGACUGGAAUUCCUGGUGUAGCAGUGAAAUGCGUAGAGAUCAGGAGGAAUACCGAUGGCGAAGGCAGGUCCCUGGGCUGACACUGACGCUCAUGCACGAAAGCGUGGGGAGCAAACAGG
rnacentral:rRNA from 1 species